CUUCGCUUGUAUGGCAUCUCAUAUCAAAGUCCAUGCUAUGCAUGUAGCUGUUGGGAUCAUGGAAAGUGGUGGCAACAACACUGGAUGACUUCGAUUUGGUGGUGCAUCUCAAGCAUCGGUCUUGAGCUCUGGGGCAUUGCUAGGACUUGUUCUUCGUGGUGAAAACACAUGAUCAGGCCUUGGUUGACUCCGGCGACAACGGCGCAUGAGCGUUGUUCCCUUCCUAAAGGAACGGAGGCAGUAGCAAGGCAGGGACUGGUUGCAUCUACACUUGUAUGCUGAAAACCCCCACAUUUUGCAUCCGGGAGCAGAGCAGAGCGGGAGAUCUGACAGCAGGAGGAGAGGAUAGAGUGGAUGGGGAUUG